rnacentral:rRNA from 1 species
AGUGAGCGCUGGCGGUAGGCCUAACACAUGCAAGUCGAACGGCAGCACAGUAAGAGCUUGCUCUUACGGGUGGCGAGUGGCGGACGGGUGAGGAAUACAUCGGAAUCUACUUUUUCGUGGGGGAUAACGUAGGGAAACUUACGCUAAUACCGCAUACGACCUACGGGUGAAAGCAGGGGAUCUUCGGACCUUGCGCGAUUGAAUGAGCCGAUGUCGGAUUAGCUAGUUGGCGGGGUAAAGGCCCACCAAGGCGACGAUCCGUAGCUGGUCUGAGAGGAUGAUCAGCCACACUGGAACUGAGACACGGUCCAGACCCCUACGGGAGGCAGCAGUGGGGAAUAUUGGACAAUGGGCGCAAGCCUGAUCCAGCCAUACCGCGUGGGUGAAGAAGGCCUUCGGGUUGUAAAGCCCUUUUGUUGGGAAAGGAAAGCAGCAGGUUAAUACCCCGCUGUUCUGACGGUACCCAAAGAAUAAGCACCGGCUAACUUCGUG